rnacentral:rRNA from 1 species
AUGACAAGCACACAACAAAGUGAGAGCGCUAACCACCUCCUGAAGCAGUACAUUCCUAGAUCAUCGCCUAUGCACUUGUUUCUGAAGCAGUACAAUAACCUACUAAGGUCAAGAAGGUCGGAUGAAGGAAAGGAACAACAUAACACCAAUGCGGUAUGA